rnacentral:rRNA from 1 species
UACGGGGGGGGCAAGCGUUGUUCGGAAUUACUGGGCGUAAAGGGCUCGUAGGCGGCCAACUAAGUCAGACGUGAAAUCCCUCGGCUUAACCGGGGAACUGCGUCUGAUACUGGAUGGCUUGAGUGUGGGGAGAGGGAUGCGGAAUUCCAGGUGUAGCGGUGAAAUGCGUAGAUAUCUGGAGGAACACCGGUGGCGAAGGCGGCAUCCUGGACCAUUACUGACGCUGAGGAGCGAAAGCCAGGGGAGCAAACGGG